AUUGAACGCUGGCGGCAGGCCUAACACAUGCAAGUCGAGCGGAGCGGCGGACGGGCGAGUAAUGCCUAGGAAUCUGCCUGGUAGUUGGGGAUAACUUCCGACAACGGGCGCUAAUUCCGCAUAUUAUCAGUUUAGUCUACGUCGGCUUAGCUAGUUGGUGGGGUAGAGACUUACCAAGGCGACGAUCCGUAACUGGUCUGAGAGGAUGAUCAGUCACACUGGGACUGAGACACGGUCCAGACUCCUACGGGAGGCAGCAGUGGGGAAUAUUGGACAAUGGGCGAAAGCCUGAUCCAGCCAUGCCGCGUGUGUGAAGAAGGUCUUCGGAUUGUAAAGCACUUUAAGUUGGGAGGCGUUACCAACAGAAUAAGCACCGGCUAACUUCGUGCCAGCAGCCGCGGUAAUUC
rnacentral:rRNA from 1 species